rnacentral:lncRNA from 1 species
AACUAAACUGGGAGCUUUAUUUUCAGAUACAGAUACAAAUGUGGAUGUAUUUCAAAAAAUUAAAUUACAAAUAAGCAACAAUCCAUAUCUUCAGAACAUGUUUAAUAAUGGCCAGUAUAAGCACAAAAUGCAUUUUCUUUGUUAUCUCUUUCCCAUUAAUAUUGAUAUGAUUGAACAAAGAGGGGGUUUUCUUUUUAUUUUUCUUCUGCAUUAUCAAUUCUUUAAGAAGCUGUGAGAGCUGGACUGUAUUUUCUUUAGCCUCUGAAUGCCAGCUAGCACGCAGGGGGCAGUUAAAUAAUAAAUAGUAACAAAUACUGGCUUUAUUGACUCUUGAACCCUUGAAUCAAUCAAUUAAUCAUGAUAUUAUGGCAAGAUCAAAGGGAUAAAUUCUAAAACUNNNNNNNNNNNNNNNNNNNNNNNNNNNNNNNNNNNNNGGAAUAAUUGCAAACCAUUUUGAUCAAAUAUGAAAUGAUGAUCAGUUAUGCUCUUUAGGGCCCAGUAACUUAGGUUUAUUUAAGUACCAUAAUAAAGUACAUCCCUCCAGGAUCUAAUGAUCUCCUAAACUUCGCUUUAGGAGAAAGCAUUGUAGCCUAAACACCCUAAAGACUGAAGCCAAUUCAAAGUGGUGAGUUCCAUCCAUAUUUUAAAGGAUAAUUUCUCUGAAAAACAUCCCCUGGUAAUGUAUGUUUGGGGUUUUUUUUUUUUUCAUUAAGUCUUAACAAUUUGCUCAGUUUCUGUUGUUUGUAUCAAAAAUAUCUUUCCUUUUCCCAGCCCCCAAUUAUUGGUUAGGUACCAAAGCAAGAUAUUUUAUGUGAACAUUUCAAUCUUAUGUAACAUUUCAAUCCAUAAGAAACAAAGUAGAUGGUACUAAGAAAAAAAAGUGAGUCACCAGGCAGAGAAAGAAGCCCCAGGUCAGGACUUGCAAUAUACAGUAAUAAGACUCGGCCACAAUAACAUACACAAAGGUCUCCUGCAUGGCUAUGGACUCCAGAAUAAUAACUGCUGUAUAUUUAUGCUGGCUGCUAUGGCUCUGUUUUCUGGGUUCACCCACUCACCCCUUGAGGAAAGUACUAGAUGUGUUGUCCUUAUACAGGGGAGAUCUCUCUGAGUCCAGAGCACCCUCCAGUGUGUUGCCGGUGGAUGUGGUCUUUCCAAUAGCCUGCUCAGAACACAAGCAGCAGCCCUAGAAAGAGAGUUUCUUUUGGAUAAUUGAGAUGCUGCCUUCAGGAAACCUAUUGUCUCUAUGAUCCUGGGAUUGCCUAGUUAGAAAUAAGGACAUCUCGGGAGGCAUACAUUCAAGGUCUCAGAAAGUUAAAAUGCAGGGUGGAGAUUUGGGUGAUGUGUUCUGGGGUCUUUCUUUUCUAAGGGCCAGAUUGAAUUGGUUUACUAAGCAACAAACAUUUGCUGAACAUCUACUGUGUGUUAGUGUGGAUUCCAGUAGGAAUAGGAUUUGAUCACUGUACUUAGGAAUUUAUUGAACUGUCUCUUAGAGUCAAGUGGUAUUUUCACAUCCAUUAUCUCCUUUAAUCAACUGAGCCAUUCUCUGAAGCAUCUACUAAAGUCUAAGAUAAGGACAGUACAGCCCAGAGAGUUGAUAUAGUUUCCUUAAGGUUCGUUAGUUAGUGUCAAAACAUGGACUUCACAGAGUUCUUUGGUCUGGUGCUUUUUCGUUUACACUAUAGCAUGUAUUUGCCCUUUGAGUCUUGGUUUCUUUUUCCCCAAUUUAAGGCAGAGAGACUGUUUUGUCAAUUUUUCUCCUUUCUGCCUGUAAACAUUCUAUGUUUUUAUGCAAACCUGUAUUUAGAUACAAGGAAUUAGAUGGGACUUUAAUUUCACUGCACAUCACUCCUCUCAAACAUCAUGGGGCUUCAGUAUAAAUUCACUGGUACAAUGUCUUCCCAAUCCUGGGCUUCCUCAAGUCUGCUGGUAAUUUUAUCCCUGAGAGCUUCUUGGUAUUGGGCUCCCAUGAACUGCCAGAAGAGUUUGUAGAGGUUGGUCUGAUUCUGAAGACACUUCUUCCCAUCCUUUUAUAGUCUGCCCCUUCCCCAGAUCACAAUGUUUGGGUGGUUAGUUGAAAGUGUUUGCUAGGGAUCCCCAAGCCCUUCUCUUCCUAAGCCAUCUGAAUCACAGCUCUCUUCCUUGUGGGUUUCUCAUAAACAAGCCCAAGAUGCUGGGAGAACAGCAUCUCAGGAUGAACACCAUCUAACCUCUUGUUAUAGGCUGAAUUGUGUUCUUUCAAAAUUUUUUCUGUUGAAGGCUGACUCCCCAGUACCUUAGAAUGGGACCGUAUUUGGAAAUAGGGCUUAGUGCAAUUGUAAUUAGUUAAGUUAGGAUGAGGUCGUACUGCAGAAGUUUGGGUCCCUAAUCCAAUAUGAUGGUUCCCUUACAAAAGGGGGAAAUGUGGACAUUGAAGUGAAGAUGAAGGCAGAAAUCAGGGUAAGGCAGCAGAAGCCAGUGAAUACCAAAGAUGGCCAGCAAACAUGAGAGGCUAGGGGAGAGGCAUGGAGCAGAUUCUCCCUUAUGGCCUCAGAAAGAACUUUGAUUUUAGACACUUAGCUUUCAGAACUGUGAGACAAUACAUUUCUGCUUGUUAACCUAUCCAGUCUGUGAUACUUUGUUAUGGCAGCCCCAGUAAAGUAAUAUACCCCUUGUAUCAUAGAACUGGCUUGGCCAGAAAGCACUUUGCUUGGCUCAGGAUGUUAUUGCCCUUAAUUCUCACCAUUAAUAGAAGAAUGCCCAUUCAUACCUUUCUCCAUGGGCGGUCUUCCUCAAGUGACCAAAUAGUUGUCCGAAGCCUUAUGCAAAUGGCCCGGAGCACUGGCUCUCACUUCCUCUCAUCUGUCAUCCUGAGACCUGCACAUAAUUCUCUAAGGCCUUUCUGUUAUAUUUGGACCCCAUAGGCCUUUGACUACUGGAAUACGCAGUGAUGAUUAUGUAAUUCUCAGUGUGCUUCUCAAAGGAGAAGAGAGAAGGCUAUGCUUUGAUUUGUAAAAUCUGUCUACUGUUUAAGAUGCUACUUUCCUCUGACUAAAGAGUACCAAUGAGUGUUCUUCAUCUCCCUUUCCCAAAUGAGCCCAGAGCUCCUUCCCUCCAGCCUGAUGAAACUUUUCACGCAUUCACCCUUUCAUAUAUCAAGCAUUUACCAAAGACCAACUGAAUGUUGUUAACAGGAAGAAA